AACAGGAUUCCCCUAGUAACUGCGAGUGAAGCGGGAAAAGCUCAAAUUUAAAAUCUGGCGGUCUUUGGCCGUCCGAGUUGUAGUCUGGAGAAGUGCUUUCCGCGCUGGACCGUGUAUAAGUCUCUUGGAACAGAGCGUCAUAGAGGGUGAGAAUCCCGUCUUUGACACGGACUACCAGUGCUUUGUGAUGCGCUCUCGAAGAGUCGAGUUGUUUGGGAAUGCAGCUCAAAAUGGGUGGUAAAUUCCAUCUAAAGCUAAAUAUUGGCGAGAGACCGAUAGCGAACAAGUACCGUGAGGGAAAGAUGAAAAGCACUUUGGAAAGAGAGUUAAACAGUACGUGAAAUUGCUGAAAGGGAAACGCUUGAAGUCAGUCGCGUCUGCCGGAACUCAGCCUUGCUUUCGCUUGGUGCAUUUUCCGGUAGACGGGCCAGCAUCGAUUUUGACCGUCGGAUAAGGGCCAGGGAAAUGUGGCACCCUCGGGUGUGUUAUAGUCUCUGGUCGCAUACGACGGUUGGGAUCGAGGAACGCAGCGCGCCGCAAGGCAGGGGUUCGCCCACUUUCGCGCUUAGGAUGCUGGCGUAAUGGCUUUAAACGACCCGUCUUGAAACACGGACCAAGGAGUCUAACAUGCCUGCGAGUGUUUGGGUGGUAAACCCGAGCGCGUAAUGAAAGUGAAAGUUGAGACCUCUGUCGUGGAGGGCAUCGACGCCCGGACCUGACGUUCUCUGACGGAUCCGCGGUAGAGCAUGUAUGUUGGGACCCGAAAGAUGGUGAACUAUGCCUGAAUAGGGUGAAGCCAGAGGAAACUCUGGUGGAGGCUCGUAGCGAUUCUGACGUGCAAAUCGAUCGUCAAAUUUGGG
rnacentral:rRNA from 1 species